CAGCCGCCGCGGUAAUACAGAGGGUGCAAGCGUUAAUCGGAAUUACUGGGCGUAAAGCGCGCGUAGGUGGUUUGUUAAGUUGGAUGUGAAAUCCCCGGGCUCAACCUGGGAACUGCAUUCAAAACUGACUGACUAGAGUAUGGUAGAGGGUGGUGGAAUUUCCUGUGUAGCGGUGAAAUGCGUAGAUAUAGGAAGGAACACCAGUGGCGAAGGCGACCACCUGGACUAAUACUGACACUGAGGUGCGAAAGCGUGGGGAGCAAACAGGAUUAGAUACCCCUGUAGUCCCUGUCUCUUAUAA
rnacentral:rRNA from 1 species